rnacentral:sRNA from 1 species
AAUUCAAGGGCACGCUUCAUAUAUAGCGUUUAGAAAUUCGUCUCCGCUUUUGACCACGGAUGUACUGGCACUGGCGUUGAGGCGAAUUCGGAAGGUCGGGAAUUCCCGGCCUUUUUUGUU